GACGAACGCUGGCGGCGUGCUUAACACAUGCAAGUCGAACGAAGUGGCGAACGGGUGAGUAACGCGUAAUCAACCUGCCCUUCAGAGGGGGACAACAGUUGGAAACGACUGCUAAUACCCCAUACUGAAGGAGGGGAUUGUGUCUGAUUAGCUAGUUGGAUGGGUAACGGCCCACCAAGGCGAUGAUCAGUAGGCGGUCUGGGGGGGUGAACGGGCACAUUGGGAAUGAGACACGGCCCAGACUGCUAAGGGAGGCAACAGUGGGGAAUUUUCCGCCAUGGGGGGAAGUCUGACGGAGCAACGCCGCGUGAGUGAAGAAGGCCUUCGGGUUGUAAAGCUCUGUUGAUCGGGAAGCGGUACCGGAAUAGAAAGCCACGGCUAACUACGUGCCAGCAGCCGCGGUAAUUC
rnacentral:rRNA from 1 species